rnacentral:RNase_P_RNA from 1 species
AUCGAGGAAAGUCCGGACUUCACAGAGCUGGGUGAUUGCUAACAGCAAUCCGAGGUGACUCGCGGGAAAGUGCCACAGAAAACAGACCGCCACCCUCGCGGUGGUAAGGGUGAAACGGUGCGGUAAGAGCGCACCAGCACCCCGGGUGACCGGGGUGGCUAGGCAAACCCCACCCGAAGCAAGGUCAAGAAGGCCGUACCGUAGGUGCGGCCGCGCAGGCGUUUGAGGGCUGCUCGCCCGAGUCUGCGGGUAGGCCGCUCGAGGUACCCGGCAACGGUGUGCCCAGAUGGAUGGUCGCCGCCGCGCC